CCUACGGGGGGCAGCAGUGGGGAAUAUUGCACAAUGGGGGAAACCCUGAUGCAGCGACGCCGCGUGAGCGAUGAAGUAGUUCGGUAUGUAAAGCUCUAUCAGCAGGGAAGAAGAUGACGGUACCUGACUAAGAAGCCCCGGCUAACUACGUGCCAGCAGCCGCGGUAAUACGUAGGGGGCAAGCGUUAUCCGGAUUUACUGGGUGUAAAGGGAGCGUAGACGGCGAUGCAAGUCUGGUGUGAAAGGCGGGGGCUCAACCCCGGGACUGCAGUGGAAACUGUGUGGCUGGAGUGGCGGAGAGGCAGGCGGAAUUCCUAGUGUAGCGGUGAAAUGCGUAGAUAUUAGGAGGAACACCAGUGGCGAAGGCGGCCUGCUGGACUGUAACUGACGUUGAGGCUCGAAAGCGUGGGGAGCAAACAGGAUUAGAUACCCUAGUAGUC
rnacentral:rRNA from 1 species